rnacentral:tRNA from 1 species
GCCUGGGUGGCUCAGUUGGUUAAGCAUCCACCUUCAGCCCAGGUCAUGAUCUCACAGUUCAUGGGUUCAACCCCCAUCUUGGGCU